rnacentral:rRNA from 1 species
CUGCUGCCUCCCGUAGGAGUCUGGUCCGUGUCUCAGUACCAGUGUGGGGGACCUUCCUCUCAGAACCCCUACGCAUCGUCGCCUUGGUGGGCCGUUACCCCGCCAACUAGCUAAUGCGACGCAUGACCAUCCGUAGCCGGAAUCGCUUCCUUUAAACCCGAGGAGAUGCCUCCUCGGGUUGUUACGCGGUAUUAGACGGAAUUUCUUCCGCUUAUCCCCCUGCAUAGGGCAGGUUCCAUACGUGUUACUCACCCGUGCGCCGGUCGCCGG